AACUAUGAGCAAAACUUACGGCACUUAGAAUACUGGCUGAUAUCAAUAUAAUGAACAAAAACUUAUCCCUAAUAAAUGAACAUGUGAUUAGGUUACAAUCUCCAUUAGCAUCGUGUUAUUCAUCGUUUGCUACUCUAAUUUACCUUUACUGGAAAAAUGUCGCUUAAAUAUUUUAAAACUCAUAAUAUUCUUAUCACGUCGCAUUAAACUGUUACGAGUCGACUUUAAUGCCUUGUUAAAUGGCUAUUCAUUGUCA
rnacentral:misc_RNA from 1 species